GGCUGUGACUCAGCGGUAGAGUGCUUGCCUAGCAUGUGCGAGGCCCUGGGUUUGAUCCUCAGCAUGACA
rnacentral:tRNA from 1 species